GCACUGCUGAGGAGUCCCAUAAUAGGACGAAACGGCAGUUCAGUGC
rfam:Schistosoma rodhaini strain Burundi genome assembly, scaffold: SROB_scaffold0001572